CUUUUGCUGUCAGUUUUUCUGUUGCUUGUCUUGGUUUUAUGCCUUUUAUAUCAAGGCACAUAAAAGGCAUAAAACCAAGACAAGCAAC
rnacentral:miRNA from 1 species